UUACCAAGGACAACAAUGUUUAUCUAGCAUAGGUCAUUGUAUGCCAUAUAGGUUGGUUGUGCUCUUAACCAAGGAGUGUGGAGACACUGGUAUGGCAUACAGGUGAGAUGUAAGGAUACAUCUGCACUGAACGUGACCGACUCCGGAGCUAUUUCUGCUGUCAAGAUUUGCUCCGAUGGAAUAUGGGUAUAAAUGUCCCUCCGACCUGAGACCGCCACGGUGACUUGCAAGCAACUCACUGUACUUAGGCACUGGACUACCUGAAUUUCUAAUUCAGUGACGGAAGGCUGCUGGGUGUAGUCAAGUCCUUGACUUGUCGGUGCGUGUGUCAAGAUGGGAUUGACCACUCCAGUUUAGGAGCUAUGUACAGUCGUGUUUCAAUUUAGCAAAAUCUUGACCAGGGUAGUCCUUGUGAGGAGUCACAGGACUGUUUGAGUUGAGCACGAUUCGGAUGAUCUGAUCAGGGUUGACAGUUUAGCCCUGAGUCGUCCUAAACAUAGGGGUCAAAAGGAUGAAUUAUACAGUAACCAUAUUCAUGUAGAUUCUGAGUGUUGCGAUU
rnacentral:lncRNA from 1 species